rnacentral:rRNA from 1 species
UACAGAGGGUGCAAGCGCUGUUCGGAAUUAUUGGGCGUAAAGCGCGUGUAGGCGGCUUUGCAAGUCGGAUGUGAAAGCCCUCGGCUCAACCGAGGAAGUGCGUUCGAAACUGCAGAGCUUGAGUGCCGGAGAGGGUGGCGGAAUUCCCCAAGUAGAGGUGAAAUUCGUAGAUAUGGGGAGGAACACCGGUGGCGAAGGCGGCCGACCUGGA